rnacentral:rRNA from 1 species
ACUCAAAGGAAUAGACGGGGGCCCGCACAAGCGGUGGAGUAUGUGGCUUAAUUCGAUGCAACGCGAAGAACCUUACCUGGCCUUGACAUGCUUUGGACCGGCGCUGAAAGGCGCCUUCUCUUCGGAGCCGGAGCACAGGUGCUGCAUGGCUGUCGUCAGCUCGUGUCGUGAGAUGUUGCGUUAAGUCGCGCAACGAGCGCAACCCCUGUCCCUAGUUGCCAGCAGGUAAAGCUGGGCACUUUAGGGAGACAAACCCUCUCUGAGGGUGGGAAGGUGGGGAUGACGUCAAGUCAGGAUGGCCCUUACGGCCAGGGCUGCACACGUACUACAAUGCCCGGUACAGAGGGACGCUACGCCGCGAGGCGAUGCAAAUCUCAAAAACCGGGCCCAGUUCAGAUUGUAGUCUGCAAUUCGACUACAUGAAGUUGGAAUCGCUAGUAAUGGCGCAUCAGCUACGGCGCCGUGAAUACGUUCCCGGGCCUUGUACACACCGCCCGU